UACGGUGGGAGCAAGCGUUGUUCGGAUUUACUGGGCGUAAAGGGCGCGUAGGCGGCGCAACAAGUCACUUGUGAAAUCUCCGGGCUCAACCCGGAGCGGCCAAGUGAUACUGUCGUGCUAGAGUGCGGAAGGGGCUACUGGAAUUCUCGGUGUAGCGGUGAAAUGCGUAGAUAUCGAGAGGAACACCUGCGGCGAAGGCGGGUAGCUGGGCCGACACUGACGCUGAUGCGCGAAAGCCAGGGGAGCGAACGGG
rnacentral:rRNA from 1 species